rnacentral:rRNA from 1 species
UGGGGAAUUUUGGACAAUGGGGGAAACCCUGAUCCAGCCAUCCCGCGUAUGCGAUGAAGGCCUUCGGGUUGUAAAGCACUUUUGGCAGGAAAGAAACGUCAUGGGUUAAUACCCCGUGAAACUGACGGUACCUGCAGAAUAAGCACCGGCUAACUACGUGCCAGCAGCCGCGGUAAUACGUAGGGUGCAAGCGUUAAUCGGAAUUACUGGGCGUAAAGCGUGCGCAGGCGGUUCGGAAAGAAAGAUGUGAAAUCCCAGAGCUCAACUUUGGAACUGCAUUUUUAACUACCGGGCUAGAGUGUGUCAGAGGGAGGUGGAAUUCCGCGUGUAGCAGUGAAAUGCGUAGAUAUGCGGAGGAACACCGAUGGCGAAGGCAGCCUCCUGGGAUAACACUGACGCUCAUGCACGAAAGCGUGGGGAGCAAACAGG